GAUGAAGAACGCAGCGAAAUGCGAUACGUAAUGUGAAUUGCAGAAUUCAGUGAAUCAUCGAGUCUUUGAACGCACAUUGCACUCCUUGGUAUUCCGAGGAGUACGCCUGUUCGAGCGUCAUUAAACUAUCAAGCUUGGCUUGGAUUUGAAUCACUGUCGAGGCAGGAUUUCAAUAUUGUCGGCAAUUGACCAUCUGUGAUGACUCACUUGGAGUUGAUUCGCCUCAAAUCGAUCAAUCAGUUGACCUCGGAUCAGGCGGGGAUACCCGCUGAACUUAAGCAUAUCAAUAAGCGGAGGA
rnacentral:misc_RNA from 1 species